AGAACAUUCUGCUGCUCUUAAAGGUACAGGCCUCAGGGUCCCUGCUGUAGACGGGGCGGGGGAGAGUACGAUGGGUGGGGCGUGGUGGGUCGUAGGGCGCUCGAGAUGGAGCCCCCAGCUUCCUUGAUGGAUCGCGGGGCGCGAGUGCCCUAGACAAGCCGGAGCUGGGACCGGCAAUCGGGCGUUGAUCCUUGUCACCUGUCGCAGACCCUCAUCCCUCCCGUGGGAGCCCCCUUUGGACACUCUAUGACCCUGGACCCUCGGGGGACCUGAACUUGAUGCGAUGGGAGGCUGUGCAGGCUCGCGGCGGCGCUUUUCGGAUUCCGAGGGGGAGGAGACCGUCCCGGAGCCCCGGCUCCCUCUGUUGGACCAUCAGGGCGCGCAUUGGAAGAACGCGGUGGGCUUCUGGGUCUUGCUCUGUUUCCCAGGUUGGAAUGCAGUAGUGCAAUCACAGCUCCCUGCAGCCUGGAACUCCUGGGCUCAAGUGAUUCUCCCACCUCAGCCUCCAAGCUGCUGGGCCUUUGCAACAACUUCUCUUAUGUGGUGAUGCUGAGUGCCGCCCACGACAUCCUUAGCCACAAG
rnacentral:lncRNA from 10 species